GCGCCAUUAGCUCAAUUGGUUAGAGCAGCUGACUCUUAAUCAGCGGGUUCGGGGUUCGAGUCCCUGAUGGCGCA
rnacentral:tRNA from 1 species